rnacentral:rRNA from 1 species
GUCCACAUCAUGAAAGCCGGUUGUACCCGAAGUCCAUGUUGCUAACCGCAAGGAAGCAGUGGCCGAAGGUAUGGCUGGUGAUUGGGAUG